UGGUGAAAUCAUAUCAGUGUUAAUGCACCGGAUCCCAUCAGAACUCCGCAGUUAAGCGUGCUUAGGGUAGAGUAAUACUGGGAUGGGUGACGUCCCAGGAAGUCCUAGUGUUGCACCCU
rfam:Picea glauca, whole genome shotgun sequence.